ensembl:lncRNA MIR7-3HG MIR7-3 host gene
ACGGGACACCUGCAUCUGCCAACAAGACUGGAAGCAGAAAGGGACAGAGACGGCGAAGUUUGACGGUCUGGAAAGCAGAGACCAGCAGGGCUGACUGCUUGGGAGCACCAAAUAUCCGGACAGCGCCUCUCGGGAGGUCCGAGAAGAGAACCGCGAUCUGUUUCAGCACCGGGGCUCAGGACAGUUCCCAGCGGGCUCCGUUUCGUCUCCAGAACCCUGGACAGCUCCUCCAGAUCCAAUUCUCUCCCCUUGAAAGUGGGCUAGACUUGGCAAAUACGAUGUGGCAGAAGUGACACUAUGACUUCUGAGGCUGCGUGAUAAGAGGUGAUACGAUACAGCUUAUGCCUGGUUCUCUCUCUGGAUGCUUGCUCCUGGGACCCAGCAGCCAUCUUGUGAGGAAGCUCAAGCUACAUGGAGGUGUUCCUGCCGGCAGUCCCAGUUGAGGUCCUUCAAGAUGACUCCAACCCCAGCCUCCUUCUGACUUGAACCACAUACGAACUGCCCCCAGUGAGAACUGUCUAGCAGAGUCCACUCUCAGAACCAUGACAACUCAGCUCCGGAAUCGGUGCAGACACGCAAUAUCCUCUCAGUAGAUAUUUAUGGAAUAAAUAAAUCUGUCUCAUCUUUGGCAUUGCUA